GGGUCAGUAGGUUGGUCGUGCCACCGGUACGUACUGGUCUCACUGAUUCCUCCUUCCUGAAGAACCGUAAUGCCGUUAAUUUGGUGUUGCGGGGAAACAGGACUGUUACUUUGAAAAAAUUAGAGUGUUUAAAGCAAGCUAACGCUUGAAUACAUUAGCAUGGAAUAAUGAAAUAGGACGAUCGAUCCUAUUUUGUUGAUUUCUAGGAUUGACGUA
rnacentral:rRNA from 1 species